UACGGAGGGUGCAAGCGUUGUCCGGAAUCACUGGGCGUAAAGGGCGCGUAGGCGGCUCAUGAAGGCUGUGGUGAAAGUCCGGGGCUCAACCUCGGAUCGGCCGUGGCGACUCGUGGGCUGGAGCACUGUAGAGGCGGGUGGAAUUCCGGGUGUAGCGGUGGAAUGCGUAGAGAGUCCGGAAGAACACCAGUGGCGAAGGCGGCCCGCUGGGCAGUGGCUGACGCUGAGGCGCGACAGCAUGGGGAGCAAACAGG
rnacentral:rRNA from 1 species